CGCCUGCCGGCGACCGGCGCACGGGUGAGUAACACGUAUGCAACCUGCCCCUGUCAGGGGGACAACCCGCCGAAAGGCGGGCUAAACCCGCGUACAUGCCACCGGGGCAUCCCGGAGGCAGGAAAGGCUUCGGCCGGACAGGGAUGGGCAUGCGGCGCAUUAGGCAGUAGGCGGGGUAACGGCCCACCUAACCGACGAUGCGUAGGGGUUCUGAGAGGAAGGUCCCCCACACUGGUACUGAGACACGGACCAGACUCCUACGGAAGGCAGCAG
rnacentral:rRNA from 1 species